rnacentral:rRNA from 1 species
UACGAAGGGGGCUAGCGUUGCUCGGAAUCACUGGGCGUAAAGGGCGCGUAGGCGGCCGAUCAAGUCGGGGGUGAAAGCCUGUGGCUCAACCACAGAAUUGCCUUCGAUACUGUUUGGCUUGAGACCGGAAGAGGUAAGUGGAACUGCGAGUGUAGAGGUGAAAUUCGUAGAUAUUCGCAAGAACACCAGUGGCGAAGGCGGCUUACUGGUCCGGUUCUGACGCUGAGGCGGCGAAAGCGUGGGGAGCAAACAGG